rnacentral:rRNA from 1 species
AUACGGAGGGUGCAAGCGUUGUUCGGAAUCACUGGGCGUAAAGGGCGCGCAGGCGGUUUGGUAAGUCAGAUGUGAAAGCCCACGGCUCAACCGUGGAAGUGCAUUUGAAACUGCCAGACUUGAGUACCAGAGGGGAAAGUGGAAUUCCCGGUGUAGAGGUGAAAUUCGUAGAUAUCGGGAGGAAUACCGGUGGCGUAGGCGACUUUCUGGCUGGAUACUGACGCUGAGGCGCGAAAGCGUGGGGAGCAAACAGGAUUAGAAACCCUAGUAGUCC